CCCAGCGCUGCAAGCCACUCUUCAAUAUAACUACAGCUCCUUAUAAAACACACAGAAUGGUUCCUCAAUUUUUUUUUAACUACAGAAGUUAGAGGGGGCCUUAUGUUUGAGUUUUGCCGAGGCCUCACAAAGUGUAGAUCCAUAUCUGGUGGGGACGGUGUAACUUUGGAUGAAAUGUGGAGGGAGAAUAUGAAUGUGGGUUGUGGAGAACAUGGAUGUAGACUUGGG